rnacentral:rRNA from 1 species
UACGGAGGGUGCGAGCGUUGUCCGGAAUCACUGGGCGUAAAGGGCGCGUAGGCGGCGCGGAUAGUCGGCGGUGAAAGCCCGGAGCUCAACUCCGGGUCGGCCGUCGAUACUUCCGGGCUUGAGCACUGUAGAGGCAGGAUGGAAUUCCGGGUGUAGCGGUGGAAUGCGUAGAGAUCCGGAAGAACACCGGUGGCGAAGGCGGUCUGCUGGGCCAAGACUGACGCUGAGGCGCGACAGCGUGGGGAGCAACAGG